rnacentral:rRNA from 1 species
AUGCGUUGUUGGGUAGGGGAGCGUUCUGUAAGCCUGUGAAGGUGUGCUGUGAGGCAUGCUGGAGGUAUCAGAAGUGCGAAUGCUGACAUAAGUAACGAUAAAGCGGGUGAAAAGCCCGCUCGCCGGAAGACCAAGGGUUCCUGUCCAACGUUAAUCGGGGCAGGGUGAGUCGACCCCUAAGGCGAGGCCGAAAGGCGUAGUCGAUGGGAAACAGGUUAAUAUUCCUGUACUUGGUGUUACUGCGAAGGGGGGACGGAGAAGGCUAUGUUGGCCGGGCGACGGUUGUCCCGGUUUAAGCGUGUAGGCUGGUUUUCCAGGCAAAUCCGGAAAAUCAAGGCUGAGGCGUGAUGACGAGGCACUACGGUGCUGAAGCAACAAAUGCCCUGCUUCCAGGAAAAGCCUCUAAGCAUCAGGUAACAUCAAAUCGUACCCCAAACCGACACAGGUGGUCAGGUAGAGAAUACCAAGGCGCUUGAGAGAACUCGGGUGAAGGAACUAGGCAAAAUGGUGCCGUAACUUCGG